rnacentral:rRNA from 1 species
AUGUUUCCCCCUUCUAAAGAGGAGAUCUUUGAUGCGAUCCGAACUGCCAAUUCUAACAUAGCUUUCGGGCCUGAUGGUUUCUCCAUUCCUUUCUUUAGGCAGUUCCGGCCUCAGUUAAAAGGCCUCAUUCAGGCAAUUAUUCAAGGUUUUUGGCUGGGAACUAUUGACAUCUCAAGAUUUAAUUAUGCGGUACUCACUCUCAUCCCUAAGGUCAAAGGUGCUAACUUGAUCUCCCAGUUUAGGCCCAUUGCCUUAAUUAACAACUUUGCGAAGAUCCCGGCUAAGGGUCUGGCUACAAGGCUUUCUCCGAUCGCCCAUCGCGUCAUUAGCCCUUUCCAAUCAGCGUUUAUAAAGGGUAGAUUUAUUCUAGAUGGUGUUCUAUGUUUGCAUGAGAUUGUCCAUGACUUGCGGACCAAGGGUACUAAGCCAGUGGUUCUUAAACUUGACUUCGAGAAGGCUUAUGACUCGGUGAGCUGGAAUUUUCUUCGCCAAGUCCUUCUUGCUAAAGGUUUCGAGGGUGCGGUGGUUCACGGUCUUAUGCAGCUCGUCUCGGGAGGGCACACGACUGUGGCGGUUAAUGGGCAGAUUAGUAAUUUCUUUGCUAACGGUAGGGGCCUUAGACAAGGAGACCCGGCGUCCCCCUCCUUCUCUUUAACUUCGUUGCGGAUGCUCUUUCUCAUAUCCUUUCUCAAGCAGCUAGUGCUGGUCACAUUACACUUGUUAGCUCUCACUUGA